CGAACGCUGGCGGCGCGUCUUAAGCAUGCAAGUCGGACGGCAAGAGAAGUGCUUGCACUUCUCCUAGAGUGGCGGACUGGUGAGUAACAGGUGGGUGACAUACCCUCAGAUGGGGAUAGCCGGUAGAAAUACCGGGUAAUACCGAAUACGCUCGUACAUCUCGGAAGUGUACGAGGAAAGGAGCUACGGCUUCGCUGUUGGAUUGGCCCGCUUCCCAUUAGCUAGUUGGUGAGGUAAUGGCCCACCAAGGCUAUGAUGGGUAUCCGGCCUGAGAGGGUGAUCGGACACAUUGGGACUGAGAUACGGCCCAGACUCCUACGGGAGGCAGCAGCUAAGAAUAUUCCGCAAUGGACGAAAGUCUGACGGAGCGACGCCGCGUGGAUGAUGAAGGCCGGAAGGUUUGUAAAAUCCUUUAGCAAGUGAGGAAUAAGCAGAGCAGGGAAUGGCUCUGUGGUGACUGUAGCUUGAGAAUAAGCAUCGGCUAAUUACGUGCCAGCCGCGGC
rnacentral:rRNA from 1 species